CUCUGCAGUGCUGAUAGAACAACUGCGAGGUCCCAAGAGGGAACUUGAUGAGGGCGAGGCGGAUUGAGCCUCCUGGCCCCUCUCAGGAACCUGAUGACCAGAUCAUGCUUCCCAAGAGACAUCAACAGGCUCGUGGUGAGCCGAAAUGGUGGCCACAUAGACCUUCAGGGUGGAAGGAGACAGCCUUCGUUCCAACCCUUCCUGAAGAAAGGAAAGCACUGACCCGAUCAGGCUUCUCCAGGGGUCUUCACGACGUGAAGAACACCAGGUGACGAAGAGGUUCCACUUCAGAGCAUAGGCGUGUCUGGUAGACAAGGCUCUAGCCGAGGUGAUGGUAGCUACCACCUGAGGUGGCAAGGUACCUAAACCUUCCGUGACCCGUCCAGAACCCACACAUGUAGGUUCCAAAGAUCGGGACGUGGGUGCCAGAGGGUGCCCCGUCUCUGAGAAAGAAGGUCUUUCCUCAGAGGAAUUGGCCAGGGAGGGCCUGUCGCGAGGAGUACAAGUUUGGGGAACCAGGUCCGGCUGGGCCAAAACAGCGCAACCAUGAGGACCUGCUCCUCGUCCUCCCUGAUCUUGCACAACAUCUGUGCAAGAAUGCUCACUAGGCGAAACGCAUACUUGCGCAGGCCCAGCAGCCAGCUGUGGGCCAGAGCGUCCAUGCCAAGGGUGCCCUCGGUCAGGGAGUAAAACAACUGGAAGUGGGAAUUUUCUGGAGAGGCAAACAUGUGUACCUGAGCAUCUCAGAAGUGUUUCCAAAUCAGCUGAACCGACUGGGGGUGGAGUCUCCAUUCCCCGGGGUGAGACUGCUGACGUGAAAGCUCGUUGGCUGCACGAUUGAGUCUGCACGGAAUGUGAAUGCACGAAGCGACCUCAGAUGCUUUUGACUCCACAAGAGGAAAUGGCGAGCGAGUUGCGACAUGCGGCAGGAGCGUAGAACGCUCUGACGGUUGAUGUACGCUACGGUCGCAGUUGCUUGUCCUUGGAGUGACUUAUUUCC
ensembl:lncRNA